rnacentral:rRNA from 1 species
GACGAACGCUGGCGGCGUGCCUAAUACAUGCAAGUCGAGCGCAGGAAAUCGACGGAACCCUUCGGGGGGAAGUCGAUGGAAUGAGCGGCGGACGGGUGAGUAACACGUAAAGAACCUGCCCUCAGGUCUGGGAUAACCACGAGAAAUCGGGGCUAAUACCGGAUGGGUCAUCGGACCGCAUGGUCCGAGGAUGAAAGGCGCUUCGGCGUCGCCUGGGGAUGGCUUUGCGGUGCAUUAGCUAGUUGGUGGGGUAAUGGCCCACCAAGGCGACGAGGCAUAGCCGGCCGGAGAGGGGGCUCGGGCACACGGGGACUGAGACACGGCCCAGACCCCGACGGGAGGCAGCAGUAGGGAAUCUUCCACAAUGGACGAAAGUCUGAUGGAGCAACGCCGCGUGAACGAUGAAGGCCUUCGGGUCGUAAAGUUCUGUUGUAAGGGAAGAACAAGUGCCGCAGGCAAUGGCGGCACCUUGACGGUACCUUGCGAGAAAGCCACGGCUAACUACGUGCCAGCCGCCGCCGUAA